UGAAUCAUUAUUCUAUGCCAUUAUCGAGCCCACUUUCAUUUUCAGUCCAAACUGCAUGCUGAUAGUCAUAUUCUUUGCUUUCACUUCAUAUAGCAGCCAUACACAUGUAAAUAAUAAUCAAAGUUGUGUGUCUUUUUCAAUGCGCUCCAUCAGAAGGGUGUGGAUGAGCUGGGGGGGGUCAGUUGUUUUUUGGGGGGAUGUCUAGUCUAUAUUUAGUUACUUGGCAUUUACUAGCAAGUACUGUAGUAGCAACAACAUUGACAAAAAAGGCUUUGCAUUAGGCAUCCAAAGGAGAAAACAAAGUAAAGAACUUUGAAUGAAGGAGGAGGCCUAAUGAAAAUAUCAAAUAAUUCUUUUCAUACCACGUUGCUUUAUAAUCUGAAAGGGAAUAUGCGCAUUUCAAUAAGAAUCCCUGAUUACAGCACCAUGGAUCAAUAGAAGACUAUUCAGCCGGAGACCUGAUUUUCCAAAUUUCUCUUUUUCUAUUUUAUACUGAAUCCCCAUUUCACUUUCUUAUCACACUGCAAGCACAGUUUCUCUGUAAUAGCUCCAUGGUUGAGUCAAGUUGGCAGAAGUGACCCUCACCAUUUCAUAAUCCUGAUUUCAUUCCCUUUGCUGUCAAAAGAUGAUGGUCAUCUGAUUGUAUUCUCUCUCCAUCACAGGUAGACAGGGGAACACCCAGUGAUCUUGAUAUUGGAUGCCAUGCUGUUCAUCUUAUUAAGUCUUGUGGUCUACCACAUCAGUUUAGUUCAAGAGACUUUUCCUUCAGCAAGGUCUCCUGUCAGCAUUGAGUCAUCAUGGAUCUUCAUGAAUAGAAGCUUGUCUAGAGGAUGAUGAGUGUCUUUCUGAGGUCAUGGUGAACAUGGGUGGUGACGAAAUCCAAGAGAGAUUGUCAGGAAACAAAUCACUCACUUCAUGAACGAACAAGAUAAGACGAGAUACACAAACCAGUUUCUCAUGGACUGCCUCGCUGCCGAUACUACCCCUUUCUAAGACAAGUCAGCGCUAGUCUGAACAUGGACCUAGAUCUGAAGAAGCCUGCAGAAAUGAGUAGGCAAAAGCUCACAUGAUGAUCAGUUCAAGUACCUUCAUCACAAUACCAUGUCCUAAGGAUUACAGUAGCAGACAGAGAGAACUGUGAAAAGAGAUAUUCAGAACUAUGCAAUCCCAAAGUGCAGAUCGGAAAGACAAGUUUAAUCAGUUCAUAUGUUGUAAAAAAUCAACAGUAAUUUCAUUAUUCAUAUUGUUUUAAUGUAGGUUUUCAUCUUAAGGGAUUUGUUUCUAGCUAUUUGAAAUACAUGUUACAAUAUACUCUAUCUCUAUUCAGAAGAAUGAAAAUUGGUAGCAUUGAUCAUGAACACACUGUCACUUUAACCUGUUUGUAAGAGCCAAACGCCCCUUACAAGACAGUGAUUAGUCUGUGUAACUACAAUACACUAAUUUUAUAAGAAGCUUCAUGAGACCCUCUUGAAUUUUUAUUUCAGAUUUAGACAAUAUUUAGCAAAAUUCGUUUUUUGUUCAUUAUUGUCCUUGUUUGAAAUUUGUGAAAAUUUUGAAACCAAUGAAAUCUUCCAGCAUCCUCUUGUAGACAGUAUAGAGAAUGAAGUAAUCAUGCCAAAAUAGGUGAUGAUUACAGGGGACAAAACAGUGUCUUUUAUCCUGUUCUGGCUUAUCUUAAUGAGUUUGAUUGCCUUUAUCUCAUUUAAAGGAUCAAUGAACUCUGUCUACAUCAAAGGUUAUCAACCCUGUUAUAGUCAAGGCCAGUAUAAUUCAGUUGUGCAACUUUGAAAUUAUUUCAUUCUGUGUACUUAUUUGAAUGAUCACUUUGCAAAGAGAUGUGUUGUUAGCAUAAUAUUAUUUUUUUAAGUGCUAUCUUCAUUGUUGCCAUAAAGUUUAAACAAAUUUAAUGUGUUUCUGUAAAGUUGCCAUCGUCAUCAAAACCAUCUUUGAUUGCUUAGAGAUUUAUGAAUAGUAAAAUAAAACCAGUAAACGUUUCCCCUUUAAUUGCCCUUAUUUGAAGACUACUUCAAUGGCAUGAUAGAAUUCUUAUCAGCAUAUCUUAUUUAAAAGUUUAAAGUCUAUCUUAUAUUCCUCAAUGAAAGGCAACUAUUAACCGAGGAGUCUACAAACAAUGAUAAGAAGAGUCUACCUCAUUUGAAUAUAAAAGAUGAGAAGCAUACUAUAUUUUAUGUCAAAAACAAUUGUUAUCAGACAGGUAGAAAAAGAUUAAAGUCAUGAACUGUAGGGAAUUGCACUCAAUUUGUUUGAAAUAUAUAGUGAGUGAGUAUUUUAAUACUAUAAUUAAGAAGUUAAUCUAUGUUGGCUUAAUCUGUUCUAAUUCAGUUAACACAGAUGUGUGGUGUUUUAUAAAGCUCGUUGUAAGAAAAACUGUGAACAACUACAUCUAUUUUUAUGCUUUAUAUAAUUUGUCAGAUCUUAUAACCUCAUAGCAGUGAAUCCUUUUUAACCAUUUAAAAAAAUUUGACAACUUCAACAAGCAUUCUAAUUUACAAAUAUCACAUUUAAAACUUUAUUUUGUGGUAAUCGAAAUUAUUGGAAUCUGAUUUAUAACCUCAGAACAUGUCAGUAGUUGUGUGUGAGGUUGCAUGUAACUUAUAUUCAGUUUUAUAAAACGCCAUGCACCCAUUAAUCUUAAUACAAAAAAAUAUAUGUGACAUUUUGUUGAGACGAGGUGGGAGUUUCUUAAUCAAACCUAAUUUUUGAGUGGCAUCAUACACACUUGAUAUCAUUAUCAUUUGUUUGUAUAUCAGUAUCAGGUUGUGAAUAUCAGCCCAUUUGGAUUAAACUUUGGACUAUACCUUAGACAAAUGAUAAGAAACCUACAUUGAGCAGUGGCUGUAGCAAACAUUCAGCCAUCUACUGUGCAGUUACAGUAUAAUAUUAGAGUUCAUGUUAUAGUCUUAAAAGUUCAAGUUUUUUGUGUUAAGUAUUAUGCCCUUGCAUGGACUUUAAACAACAGGCGUUAAUGAAGAGAGGAAGGAGAACUAGCUUGUAAUCAGUAAUAUGCCUAUGAAGUGUUAUUUCACUGUGGAAGAUGGCCUGUAGAACACUUGUAGAACAAACUAGUUAAAAGUGACUAGAUUGCAAGGUUACCUGGAUGUAUCUGUUUUGUUUUUGUAUUUUUUCAACUAGUAUAUCUAUAUAAUCACAUUUGAUUACCACUUAGCAUGUUCUAACUUUGUGGUUAAAAAUAUGGCUUUUAGUUGA